UGGGGAAUAUUGCGCAAUGGGGGAAACCCUGACGCAGCGACGCCGUGUGAGGGAAGAAGGCUUUCGGGUCGUAAACCUCUGUCAGGAAGGAAGAACCUCUCAAGGCUGAACAAGCCUUGGGACUGACGGUACUUCCAGAGGAAGCACCGGCUAACUCCGUGCCAGCAACCGCGGUAAUACGGAGGGUGCAAGCGUUAAUCGGAAUCACUGGGCGUAAAGCGCGCGUAGGCCGUCUUUUAAGUCGGACGUGAAAGCCCUCGGCUCAACCGGGGAACUGCGUUCGAUACUGGGAGACUUGAGUCCUGGAGAGGGUGGCGGAAUUCCGGGUGUAGGAGUGAAAUCCGUAGAUAUCCGGAGGAACACCGGUGGCGAAGGCGGCCACCUGGACAGUUACUGACGCUGAGGCGCGAAAGCGUGGGGAGCAAACA
rnacentral:rRNA from 1 species